rnacentral:rRNA from 1 species
UACGGAGGGUGCAAGCGUUAUCCGGAUUCACUGGGUUUAAAGGGUGCGUAGGAGGGCAGGUAAGUCAGUGGUGAAAUCCCCGAGCUUAACUUGGGAACUGCCGUUGAUACUAUCUGUCUUGAAUGUUGUGGAGGUAAGCAGAAUAUGUCAUGUAGCGGUGAAAUGCUUAGAUAUGACAUAGAAUACCUAUUGCGAAGGCAGCUUACUACGCAGAUAUUGACGCUCAUGCACGAAAGCGUGGGGAUCAAACAGG